rnacentral:rRNA from 1 species
UACAGAGGUCUCAAGCGUUGUUCGGAUUCAUUGGGCGUAAAGGGUGCGUAGGCGGCGCGGUAAGUCGGGUGUGAAAUCUCGGGGCUUAACUCCGAAACUGCAUUCGAUACUGCCGUGCUUGAGGACUGGAGAGGAGACUGGAAUUUACGGUGUAGCGGUGAAAUGCGUAGAUAUCAGGAGGAACACCGGUGGCGAAGGCGGCUCUCUGGACGGUGACUGACGCUGAGACGCGAAAGCGUGGGGAGCAAACAGG